AAAUUGUGAUUCUGCUCUCCCCCCCUCCUUCAGCAAAUGGUUGCGCCUGUCCCGUAGCUCUCCUUUGCCCGCAUUCCAGAGCACGGCGAGAGGCGGGGACCCCCGUGUAAGUCCAUUUAGGGAAAUCGAGAAGUGCCGUGGGUCUCACGUGACUGGCCGUGGCUCCUCCCCCAGAGCCCGGCGCCUCCGCUCGGUUGGAGUGCGCCUGCGCAGGAAACUCGGGCGACUCAACGUCUAGGUCAGCGCCUCAGGGUCUGGGCAGAGCGAGUGGGUAACCAUGGAUAUACCAAGUCAAUGUGGAAAAAGGAGUCUUAAUAUUCUAAUGUUCUGAUAUGAAAUUCUAAUGAUUAGACCCACUACUGAAAGCCUCUGACACUGACGUACCUGUUCUUUUGUAACCUACAGGAAAUCUUCAUGAAACAGCAAAACGCCAGGUCAUGUCUUCACCAUGAGGCCGCAGCAGGCGCCGGUGUCUGGGAAGGUGUUCGUUCAGCGAGACUUCAGCAGUGGCACACGCUGUCAGUUCCAGACCAAGUUCCCGGUGGAGCUGGAGAACAGGAUUGAUAGACAGCAGUUUGAAGAAACAGUUAAAACUCUAAAUAAUCUUUUUGAAGAAGCAGAGACGCUUGAGGGCCAGUCAUAUCUUGAAGGCUGUUUGGCUUGUUUAACAGCAUAUACCAUCUUCUUAUGCAUGGAAACUCAUUAUGAAAAGGUCUUGAAGAAAGUUUCCAAAUACAUUCAAGAACAGAAUGAGAAGAUAUAUGCUCCCCACGGCCUCCUCCUAACAGACCCCAUUGAGAGAGGACUUCGAGUUAUUGAAAUCACCAUCUAUGAAGACAGAGGUGUGAGCAGUGGAAGAUAAACCACAGAAUACAAAUCCCACCUCCAGCUGGGACCUUCAUCUGCCCACUGGCUGACUGCAGAGCAUCUCUACCUCCUUUUCAGAUCGUUAUUCUCUUGUUUCUGCUACCAGAGCCACAGUGCCACACCUGGAGUGACCGCUCAUCACUCAGCAUCCACUCUGUGUCUCCCAGUUGUGUAGGACUCUGUGAUCUUUUGACUUGUUUCCAAGAAAAUACAAGGAAGCAAUUCUAUUUUUUAAAUUUAAAGCCAUUUAAAAAGCAGGCAGUUGGUCAGCCCAAGACAGUCGUUUUCUUACCUGACACCAGGCUCAUUGGUUCUCCUCAUCCCUUGGGUCAGUUUCCUAGGUGGCUUUAUGAUUCCACAAGUCAUGACUUAGCUCAGUUCUUCCCCCAGAUUAGUAACAGGCUUUGAGGGUGUGUAUGCCUGUGGUCCAGCUGAUCCGUGGCCCAGAUUCCCCAAGCUACCAGCCUUGACGUGCUUCAGAUCUUAAGACUGAUUUCUGCUGUUCAAUUUCAGAGGCUCCUUGAGAGAAUAAUAUAUGUUACUUGUUUUAGUAUUGCAGUUAUUAUUAAAGCAGUAUUUAAUGCAA